AUUGAACGCUGGCGGCAGGCUUAACACAUGCAAGUCGAGCGAGCGGCGGACGGGUGAGUAAUGUCUGGGAAACUGCCUGAUGGAGGGGGAUAACUACUGGAAACGGUAGCUAAUACCGCAUACCAUCAGAUGUGCCCAGAUGGGAUGAGCUAGGAGGUGGGGUAAUGGCUCACCUAGGCGACGAUCCCUAGCUGGUCUGAGGGGCUGACCGGCCACGCUGGAACUGGGACACGGUCCAGACUCCUACGGGAGGCAGCAUUGGGGAAUAUUGCACAAUGAGCGCAAGCCUGAUGUGGCCGUGUCGCGUGGUUGGAGAGGGCCUUCGGGUGGUAAAGCACUUUCAGCGAGGAGGCGUUACUCGCAGAGGAAGCACCGGCUAACUCCGGGCCAGCAGCCGCGGUAAUAC
rnacentral:rRNA from 1 species